CCUACGGGUGGCAGCAGUGAGGAAUAUUGGUCAAUGGGCGCGAGCCUGAACCAGCCAAGUAGCGUGAAGGAUGACUGCCCUACGGGUGGUAAACUUCUUUUAUAAAGGAAUAAAGUGAGGCACGUGUGCCUUUUUCUAUGUACUUUAUGAAUAAAGAUCGGCUAACUCCUUUCCAUCAGCCGCGGUAUGAAGGAGGAUCCGAGCGUUAUCCGGAUUUAUUGUGUUUAAAGGGAGAGUAGAUGGGUUGUUAAGUCAGUUGUGAAAGUUUGCGGCUUAACCGUAAAAUUGCAAUUGAUACUAGCAGCAUUGAGGACAGUUGAGGUAGGCGGAAUACGUGGAGUAGCGGUGA
rnacentral:rRNA from 1 species